UACGUAGGGUGCGAGCGUUGUCCGGAAUUAUUGGGCGUAAAGAGCUCGUAGGCGGUGUGUCACGUCUGCCGUGAAAACCUGCAGCUUAACUGUGGGCGUGCGGUCGAUACGGGCAUCACUGGAGUUCGGCAGGGGAGACUGGAAUUCCUGGUGUAGCGGUGAAAUGCGCAGAUAUCAGGAGGAACACCGGUGGCGAAGGCGGCAUCCUGGACCAAUAUUGACGCUGAGGAGCGAAAGCCAGGGGAGCAAACGGG
rnacentral:rRNA from 1 species